rnacentral:rRNA from 1 species
CAGUAGCCGCGGUAAUACGUAGGGUGCGAGCGUUAAUCGGAAUUACUGGGCGUAAAGCGUGCGCAGGCGGCUUUGCAAGACAGAUGUGAAAUCCCCGGGCUCAACCUGGGAACUGCAUUUGUGACUGCAAGGCUAGAGUGCGGCAGAGGGAGAUGGAAUUCCGCGUGUAGCAGUGAAAUGCGUAGAUAUGCGGAGGAACACCGAUGGCGAAGGCAAUCUCCUGGGCCUGCACUGACGCUCAUGCACGAAAGCGUGGGGAGCAAACAGGAUUAGAUACCCCAGUAGUCCCUGUCUCUUAUAC